GCCUCCCCGCGGGACAGACCGGGAAACACCGGGACAGACCGGGACACAGCGGAACGUGUGGAUUCUUAUGCGGGUAAUGACCACGGGUGCAGCAAAGAGGAGCAGGGUAACGGAGAACAUGGAGAUGAGAGCCACCCGGCAGUGCUCCUGCUCGUGAGACGGGCACAGGGAAGCCACUGUGGGAAUGAGAAUGAUGGGAACGAAGAAGGUCAAGCAUUGAGCACCCCACAGCACCCACAUCAUGGGAUUGGGAAGGUCACAGCGGCAGCAGAGCUUGCAGAGCUUUUCCACGUCCUUUUUGGCGCUGAUGGCUGUCAUCCAGAAGAGCACCCAGUAGCAGGAGAACGCUGACACCAGGUAAAGGAAUCUCACGUACAUCAGGGGCAUGACAGGAGAGCAGGACACAUCUUCCAGCAGGAAGAGCAGGGCAGAGGGAACCGCAAAGAGGAGGAAGAUGAAGUCGGUGACAGCCAGGCUAAAGAUGCUGGCAGUAUGCCCUUUCCAUCUGAGGAGGCAGAAGAGCCCCGUUCCCGGCCAGCCCACAGAGACAGAUGAGCAGUGUCACACUGUGUAUGGCCACGUUGGUGACAUCUGUCUCACAUGGAUCAUCUCCUUCGGUGGGUGAGGCAGAAGGUGGGGACACGGAGCUCACCGCCAUGGAUGGACGCUGGGCAGGCGGUGGGAUGUGGCCCCGGCUGUGGUCAGAGUGGAUGGGCAGUCAGUGCUUGGAGAAUCCAGGGAUGGACCAAGCGGCUCCUCAGCAGCUCCCUGCAGCGGGAAGGGUUUGGUGGAGAGAAGGCAAGAAAUGAGGCUGGAGCCGGUGCUGGAACAGAUCUGGAGGCCUGCAGUGGUUCUUGGGCAGUUCUGUCACAAGACACAACAGUGCACGCCCAGGAAAAUAGCUCAAGGCAAGGUCACCUUUAAUACUGAAGCAUUCAGUGAAUAUGACCAGCAGAGACCCCUCUUAAUGAAUCUGCAGGACCAUCAAAAGACUUCCAGGAGGAGAAGCAUUGCAACUUGCUGAAAUUCCAGAUUGUGUCAAGUAUGACACUUCAAAUUUGUUCAGCAGAUUCAUUGUGCUGCAAGAGGGAGCUACCCUGGGUCAGAGAUGACAUCGGAGAUGGAGGCUUCUGAUAGCUGACUAAGAGGCCAACCUGGUGAUCACAGUGCCUUUGGAGAUGGCUGAGAGGGAGAGCAUGUAAACCUGAUGUGAACGGAGGAGACCAGAGGAGCACAGCAACGAGGUGGGUCGGUGCCUGAAGUCCAAGCUACGGCCUGACUCUGGGCUCUACGUUUACCUCACUGUUCGGAUUUUCAUUUUGAAGAUGCGAGGCACUUGGCACAGCAGGGUGGUCUGCAGCAUUCAAAUCGCUACUCCAACAUGACAGACACCCUUGCAGAAAGAGGUCACAGUUGAGCACUUUCAGGUGGAACCUACCUUGGCAAUGCAACACUUUUGGACACUACAUCGGCAUGUGCCUUUCCACUUUGUUUUGCCCCUUCUCCCCUGGGAAGGAAGUAAACCUGGAUAUCAGCAGUCAAGGUCAAGUGAGUGAGGUGGCCCACUUGUAUUAUGCCUGCAGGGGCUGAACCCCCUCAUGGACCAGCUGAUGGAGCCAGUUUAUCACCCUUGAGCUGCCCCUGUGAGCCUUCCAGAAGUAUUACAGGGCUCUGCGAUGAAGCCUGUACCUUUUCUGUUUGAAGGGAUACCCUGCGACGGCGGCGUCGGCCUAGGAGUGCGGCCACAGCGUAUGAGCCGAGGACCGGGACGUUCUCAGGAGACGUAGACUAAGAGAGAACAGCCCUCUGAGGGCAGGAACUUCCCAGAUGAUGAGGCGGCCUUCUUUUGCACCUGAUGAGGAUUUGCAUCCCUGGAUAUCUGAGAGCUAAAGGGAGAGCAUGUAAACCUGAUGUGAACGGAGGAGACCAGAGGAGCACAGCAACGAGGUGGGUCGGUGCCUGAAGUCCAAGCUACGGCCUGACUCUGGGCUCUACGUUUACCUCACUGUUCGGAUUUUCAUUUUGAAGAUGCGAGGCACUUGGCACAGCAGGGUGGUCUGCAGCAUUCAAAUCGCUACUCCAACAUGACAGACACCCUUGCAGAAAGAGGUCACAGUUGAGCACUUUCAGGUGGAACCUACCUUGGCAAUGCAACACUUUUGGACACUACAUCGGCAUGUGCUUUUCCACUUUGUUUUGCCCCUUCUCCCCUGGGAAGGAAGUAAACCUGGAUAUCAGCAGUCAAGGUCAAGUGAGUGAGGUGGCCCACUUGUAUUAUGCCUGCAGGGGCUGAACCCCCUCAUGGACCAGCUGAUGGAGCCAGUUUAUCACCCUUGAGCUGCCCCUGUGAGCCUUCCAGAAGUAUUACAGGGCUCUGCGAUGAAGCCUGUACCUUUUCUGUUUGAAGGGAUACCCUGCGACGGCGGCGUCGGCCUAGGAGUGCGGCCACAGCGUAUGAGCCGAGGACCGGGACGUUCUCAGGAGACGUAGACUAAGAGAGAACAGCCCUCUGAGGGCAGGAACUUCCCAGAUGAUGAGGCGGCCUUCUUUUGCACCUGAUGAGGAUUUGCAUCCCUGGAUAUCUGAGAGCUAAAGGGAGAGCAUGUAAACCUGAUGUGAACGGAGGAGACCAGAGGAGCACAGCAACGAGGUGGGUCGGUGCCUGAAGUCCAAGCUACGGCCUGACUCUGGGCUCUACGUUUACCUCACUGUUCGGAUUUUCAUUUUGAAGAUGCGAGGCACUUGGCACAGCAGGGUGGUCUGCAGCAUUCAAAUCGCUACUCCAACAUGACAGACACCCUUGCAGAAAGAGGUCACAGUUGAGCACUUUCAGGUGGAACCUACCUUGGCAAUGCAACACUUUUGGACACUACAUCGGCAUGUGCCUUUCCACUUUGUUUUGCCCCUUCUCCCCUGGGAAGGAAGUAAACCUGGAUAUCAGCAGUCAAGGUCAAGUGAGUGAGGUGGCCCACUUGUAUUAUGCCUGCAGGGGCUGAACCCCCUCAUGGACCAGCUGAUGGAGCCAGUUUAUCACCCUUGAGCUGCCCCUGUGAGCCUUCCAGAAGUAUUACAGGGCUCUGCGAUGAAGCCUGUACCUUUUCUGUUUGAAGGGAUACCCUGCGACGGCGGCGUCGGCCUAGGAGUGCGGCCACAGCGUAUGAGCCGAGGACCGGGACGUUCUCAGGAGACGUAGACUAAGAGAGAACAGCCCUCUGAGGGCAGGAACUUCCCAGAUGAUGAGGCGGCCUUCUUUUGCACCUGAUGAGGAUUUGCAUCCCUGGAUAUCUGAGAGCUAAAGGGAGAGCAUGUAAACCUGAUGUGAACGGAGGAGACCAGAGGAGCACAGCAACGAGGUGGGUCGGUGCCUGAAGUCCAAGCUACGGCCUGACUCUGGGCUCUACGUUUACCUCACUGUUCGGAUUUUCAUUUUGAAGAUGCGAGGCACUUGGCACAGCAGGGUGGUCUGCAGCAUUCAAAUCGCUACUCCAACAUGACAGACACCCUUGCAGAAAGAGGUCACAGUUGAGCACUUUCAGGUGGAACCUACCUUGGCAAUGCAACACUUUUGGACACUACAUCGGCAUGUGCUUUUCCACUUUGUUUUGCCCCUUCUCCCCUGGGAAGGAAGUAAACCUGGAUAUCAGCAGUCAAGGUCAAGUGAGUGAGGUGGCCCACUUGUAUUAUGCCUGCAGGGGCUGAACCCCCUCAUGGACCAGCUGAUGGAGCCAGUUUAUCACCCUUGAGCUGCCCCUGUGAGCCUUCCAGAAGUAUUACAGGGCUCUGCGAUGAAGCCUGUACCUUUUCUGUUUGAAGGGAUACCCUGCGACGGCGGCGUCGGCCUAGGAGUGCGGCCACAGCGUAUGAGCCGAGGACCGGGACGUUCUCAGGAGACGUAGACUAAGAGAGAACAGCCCUCUGAGGGCAGGAACUUCCCAGAUGAUGAGGCGGCCUUCUUUUGCACCUGAUGAGGAUUUGCAUCCCUGGAUAUCUGAGAGCUAAAGGGAGAGCAUGUAAACCUGAUGUGAACGGAGGAGACCAGAGGAGCACAGCAACGAGGUGGGUCGGUGCCUGAAGUCCAAGCUACGGCCUGACUCUGGGCUCUACGUUUACCUCACUGUUCGGAUUUUCAUUUUGAAGAUGCGAGGCACUUGGCACAGCAGGGUGGUCUGCAGCAUUCAAAUCGCUACUCCAACAUGACAGACACCCUUGCAGAAAGAGGUCACAGUUGAGCACUUUCAGGUGGAACCUACCUUGGCAAUGCAACACUUUUGGACACUACAUCGGCAUGUGCUUUUCCACUUUGUUUUGCCCCUUCUCCCCUGGGAAGGAAGUAAACCUGGAUAUCAGCAGUCAAGGUCAAGUGAGUGAGGUGGCCCACUUGUAUUAUGCCUGCAGGGGCUGAACCCCCUCAUGGACCAGCUGAUGGAGCCAGUUUAUCACCCUUGAGCUGCCCCUGUGAGCCUUCCAGAAGUAUUACAGGGCUCUGCGAUGAAGCCUGUACCUUUUCUGUUUGAAGGGAUACCCUGCGACGGCGGCGUCGGCCUAGGAGUGCGGCCACAGCGUAUGAGCCGAGGACCGGGACGUUCUCAGGAGACGUAGACUAAGAGAGAACAGCCCUCUGAGGGCAGGAACUUCCCAGAUGAUGAGGCGGCCUUCUUUUGCACCUGAUGAGGAUUUGCAUCCCUGGAUAUCUGAGAGCUAAAGGGAGAGCAUGUAAACCUGAUGUGAACGGAGGAGACCAGAGGAGCACAGCAACGAGGUGGGUCGGUGCCUGAAGUCCAAGCUACGGCCUGACUCUGGGCUCUACGUUUACCUCACUGUUCGGAUUUUCAUUUUGAAGAUGCGAGGCACUUGGCACAGCAGGGUGGUCUGCAGCAUUCAAAUCGCUACUCCAACAUGACAGACACCCUUGCAGAAAGAGGUCACAGUUGAGCACUUUCAGGUGGAACCUACCUUGGCAAUGCAACACUUUUGGACACUACAUCGGCAUGUGCUUUUCCACUUUGUUUUGCCCCUUCUCCCCUGGGAAGGAAGUAAACCUGGAUAUCAGCAGUCAAGGUCAAGUGAGUGAGGUGGCCCACUUGUAUUAUGCCUGCAGGGGCUGAACCCCCUCAUGGACCAGCUGAUGGAGCCAGUUUAUCACCCUUGAGCUGCCCCUGUGAGCCUUCCAGAAGUAUUACAGGGCUCUGCGAUGAAGCCUGUACCUUUUCUGUUUGAAGGGAUACCCUGCGACGGCGGCGUCGGCCUAGGAGUGCGGCCACAGCGUAUGAGCCGAGGACCGGGACGUUCUCAGGAGACGUAGACUAAGAGAGAACAGCCCUCUGAGGGCAGGAACUUCCCAGAUGAUGAGGCGGCCUUCUUUUGCACCUGAUGAGGAUUUGCAUCCCUGGAUAUCUGAGAGCUAAGUUGAGGGCUACACCUCAGGGAGGGGGAUGAGAGUGGGGUGCUGGGUCAGGACUUGGUGGGAGGGAUUUUUGAAUUAGCUUUGGAGAUGGGGAUGUUCACGAGAGGGCCCCUUAGGCCACGUAAAGGGAAAGCCUCGCUUUUGAUCACAAUGCUGAGGUGUGGAGGGCAGAGCAGUCCCGGUGUGUGUUGUCUUGUCCGGUGUGUGUUCUGUGUCUUUGGCUUCCCUUGGAUCAGAUCUCUCUGCCUUUUACCCUUAAGGGGCUUAUCAUAAGCAUUGGCCAUCAUCUCUAGCUUCUUGAACUUUCGUACUUCUCGGUAGGAUGCCAAUAUCACUUGUUCUUUUACUAGUGGGCUUGGCCACAUCUUGGAAUCACAUCUUGAAAGCAUUGAGUCGGAUCUCUUUUGAGGCCUUGUUCCCGGCUGUACUGCCAUCCAUCCUUUCCAGCCGUGAGCUGUAAUGUCCUGGGGCUUGUAAGAUUGUCAGGAUAUGGGAGCAUUCUAAACGUGGCGUUGUCUCUCACAGCCAUCUUGAUCAUUGUGACUGACAGUUCUUAGAACAGGUCACUGUUACAGUCUUUUCUUCUGCUCCUUAGAGCCCCCUUCAUCCACCAAUGCCAUACCAUCGGUUGUCUCUUUUGGCAUCGUCUCUGUCCUUGCCAUCGUUCUUCUUGCCGAGAGCUUUUUUUAUCAUCCUCAUGUCACACUGCUUGUAGUAUAAUGUGUUGUUUGAGUUUGUGUCUAGCCUGGAAUUGCUCUGCCCUGUAGAGUAGUCCUGGCGGGGGAGUAGGUGGAGAAGAAAGGAGACUUUACAGGGAGCCUUUUGCUUUGCUCAGCCACCUGAGCCACGCCUCGGAUGGAGUGACUGUGGCCAGUCUGUGUGGUGUUCAGUGGAGACGUGGGAGUGGUGCAGUGGUGUCUUGCAGUUUCAUAGUAGUUUGUCCUAAGGCCCACUACUGUGGGAUCCUAGGCAGUUUGCUUUGAGGAAUGAGAACUUGGGAAAGGCUAAGCUGGGUAACUUUGACAAAUAAUUCUUUUGCAGAGGGAGAGCAUGUAAACCUGAUGUGAACGGAGGAGACCAGAGGAGCACAGCAACGAGGUGGGUCGGUGCCUGAAGUCCAAGCUACGGCCUGACUCUGGGCUCUACGUUUACCUCACUGUUCGGAUUUUCAUUUUGAAGAUGCGAGGCACUUGGCACAGCAGGGUGGUCUGCAGCAUUCAAAUCGCUACUCCAACAUGACAGACACCCUUGCAGAAAGAGGUCACAGUUGAGCACUUUCAGGUGGAACCUACCUUGGCAAUGCAACACUUUUGGACACUACAUCGGCAUGUGCUUUUCCACUUUGUUUUGCCCCUUCUCCCCUGGGAAGGAAGUAAACCUGGAUAUCAGCAGUCAAGGUCAAGUGAGUGAGGUGGCCCACUUGUAUUAUGCCUGCAGGGGCUGAACCCCCUCAUGGACCAGCUGAUGGAGCCAGUUUAUCACCCUUGAGCUGCCCCUGUGAGCCUUCCAGAAGUAUUACAGGGCUCUGCGAUGAAGCCUGUACCUUUUCUGUUUGAAGGGAUACCCUGCGACGGCGGCGUCGGCCUAGGAGUGCGGCCACAGCGUAUGAGCCGAGGACCGGGACGUUCUCAGGAGACGUAGACUAAGAGAGAACAGCCCUCUGAGGGCAGGAACUUCCCAGAUGAUGAGGCGGCCUUCUUUUGCACCUGAUGAGGAUUUGCAUCCCUGGAUAUCUGAGAGCUAAAGGGAGAGCAUGUAAACCUGAUGUGAACGGAGGAGACCAGAGGAGCACAGCAACGAGGUGGGUCGGUGCCUGAAGUCCAAGCUACGGCCUGACUCUGGGCUCUACGUUUACCUCACUGUUCGGAUUUUCAUUUUGAAGAUGCGAGGCACUUGGCACAGCAGGGUGGUCUGCAGCAUUCAAAUCGCUACUCCAACAUGACAGACACCCUUGCAGAAAGAGGUCACAGUUGAGCACUUUCAGGUGGAACCUACCUUGGCAAUGCAACACUUUUGGACACUACAUCGGCAUGUGCUUUUCCACUUUGUUUUGCCCCUUCUCCCCUGGGAAGGAAGUAAACCUGGAUAUCAGCAGUCAAGGUCAAGUGAGUGAGGUGGCCCACUUGUAUUAUGCCUGCAGGGGCUGAACCCCCUCAUGGACCAGCUGAUGGAGCCAGUUUAUCACCCUUGAGCUGCCCCUGUGAGCCUUCCAGAAGUAUUACAGGGCUCUGCGAUGAAGCCUGUACCUUUUCUGUUUGAAGGGAUACCCUGCGACGGCGGCGUCGGCCUAGGAGUGCGGCCACAGCGUAUGAGCCGAGGACCGGGACGUUCUCAGGAGACGUAGACUAAGAGAGAACAGCCCUCUGAGGGCAGGAACUUCCCAGAUGAUGAGGCGGCCUUCUUUUGCACCUGAUGAGGAUUUGCAUCCCUGGAUAUCUGAGAGCUAAAGGGAGAGCAUGUAAACCUGAUGUGAACGGAGGAGACCAGAGGAGCACAGCAACGAGGUGGGUCGGUGCCUGAAGUCCAAGCUACGGCCUGACUCUGGGCUCUACGUUUACCUCACUGUUCGGAUUUUCAUUUUGAAGAUGCGAGGCACUUGGCACAGCAGGGUGGUCUGCAGCAUUCAAAUCGCUACUCCAACAUGACAGACACCCUUGCAGAAAGAGGUCACAGUUGAGCACUUUCAGGUGGAACCUACCUUGGCAAUGCAACACUUUUGGACACUACAUCGGCAUGUGCUUUUCCACUUUGUUUUGCCCCUUCUCCCCUGGGAAGGAAGUAAACCUGGAUAUCAGCAGUCAAGGUCAAGUGAGUGAGGUGGCCCACUUGUAUUAUGCCUGCAGGGGCUGAACCCCCUCAUGGACCAGCUGAUGGAGCCAGUUUAUCACCCUUGAGCUGCCCCUGUGAGCCUUCCAGAAGUAUUACAGGGCUCUGCGAUGAAGCCUGUACCUUUUCUGUUUGAAGGGAUACCCUGCGACGGCGGCGUCGGCCUAGGAGUGCGGCCACAGCGUAUGAGCCGAGGACCGGGACGUUCUCAGGAGACGUAGACUAAGAGAGAACAGCCCUCUGAGGGCAGGAACUUCCCAGAUGAUGAGGCGGCCUUCUUUUGCACCUGAUGAGGAUUUGCAUCCCUGGAUAUCUGAGAGCUAAGUUGAGGGCUACACCUCAGGGAGGGGGAUGAGAGUGGGGUGCUGGGUCAGGACUUGGUGGGAGGGAUUUUUGAAUUAGCUUUGGAGAUGGGGAUGUUCACGAGAGGGCCCCUUAGGCCACGUAAAGGGAAAGCCUCGCUUUUGAUCACAAUGCUGAGGUGUGGAGGGCAGAGCAGUCCCGGUGUGUGUUGUCUUGUCCGGUGUGUGUUCUGUGUCUUUGGCUUCCCUUGGAUCAGAUCUCUCUGCCUUUUACCCUUAAGGGGCUUAUCAUAAGCAUUGGCCAUCAUCUCUAGCUUCUUGAACUUUCGUACUUCUCGGUAGGAUGCCAAUAUCACUUGUUCUUUUACUAGUGGGCUUGGCCACAUCUUGGAAUCACAUCUUGAAAGCAUUGAGUCGGAUCUCUUUUGAGGCCUUGUUCCCGGCUGUACUGCCAUCCAUCCUUUCCAGCCGUGAGCUGUAAUGUCCUGGGGCUUGUAAGAUUGUCAGGAUAUGGGAGCAUUCUAAACGUGGCGUUGUCUCUCACAGCCAUCUUGAUCAUUGUGACUGACAGUUCUUAGAACAGGUCACUGUUACAGUCUUUUCUUCUGCUCCUUAGAGCCCCCUUCAUCCACCAAUGCCAUACCAUCGGUUGUCUCUUUUGGCAUCGUCUCUGUCCUUGCCAUCGUUCUUCUUGCCGAGAGCUUUUUUUAUCAUCCUCAUGUCACACUGCUUGUAGUAUAAUGUGUUGUUUGAGUUUGUGUCUAGCCUGGAAUUGCUCUGCCCUGUAGAGUAGUCCUGGCGGGGGAGUAGGUGGAGAAGAAAGGAGACUUUACAGGGAGCCUUUUGCUUUGCUCAGCCACCUGAGCCACGCCUCGGAUGGAGUGACUGUGGCCAGUCUGUGUGGUGUUCAGUGGAGACGUGGGAGUGGUGCAGUGGUGUCUUGCAGUUUCAUAGUAGUUUGUCCUAAGGCCCACUACUGUGGGAUCCUAGGCAGUUUGCUUUGAGGAAUGAGAACUUGGGAAAGGCUAAGCUGGGUAACUUUGACAAAUAAUUCUUUUGCAGAGGGAGAGCAUGUAAACCUGAUGUGAACGGAGGAGACCAGAGGAGCACAGCAACGAGGUGGGUCGGUGCCUGAAGUCCAAGCUACGGCCUGACUCUGGGCUCUACGUUUACCUCACUGUUCGGAUUUUCAUUUUGAAGAUGCGAGGCACUUGGCACAGCAGGGUGGUCUGCAGCAUUCAAAUCGCUACUCCAACAUGACAGACACCCUUGCAGAAAGAGGUCACAGUUGAGCACUUUCAGGUGGAACCUACCUUGGCAAUGCAACACUUUUGGACACUACAUCGGCAUGUGCCUUUCCACUUUGUUUUGCCCCUUCUCCCCUGGGAAGGAAGUAAACCUGGAUAUCAGCAGUCAAGGUCAAGUGAGUGAGGUGGCCCACUUGUAUUAUGCCUGCAGGGGCUGAACCCCCUCAUGGACCAGCUGAUGGAGCCAGUUUAUCACCCUUGAGCUGCCCCUGUGAGCCUUCCAGAAGUAUUACAGGGCUCUGCGAUGAAGCCUGUACCUUUUCUGUUUGAAGGGAUACCCUGCGACGGCGGCGUCGGCCUAGGAGUGCGGCCACAGCGUAUGAGCCGAGGACCGGGACGUUCUCAGGAGACGUAGACUAAGAGAGAACAGCCCUCUGAGGGCAGGAACUUCCCAGAUGAUGAGGCGGCCUUCUUUUGCACCUGAUGAGGAUUUGCAUCCCUGGAUAUCUGAGAGCUAAAGGGAGAGCAUGUAAACCUGAUGUGAACGGAGGAGACCAGAGGAGCACAGCAACGAGGUGGGUCGGUGCCUGAAGUCCAAGCUACGGCCUGACUCUGGGCUCUACGUUUACCUCACUGUUCGGAUUUUCAUUUUGAAGAUGCGAGGCACUUGGCACAGCAGGGUGGUCUGCAGCAUUCAAAUCGCUACUCCAACAUGACAGACACCCUUGCAGAAAGAGGUCACAGUUGAGCACUUUCAGGUGGAACCUACCUUGGCAAUGCAACACUUUUGGACACUACAUCGGCAUGUGCUUUUCCACUUUGUUUUGCCCCUUCUCCCCUGGGAAGGAAGUAAACCUGGAUAUCAGCAGUCAAGGUCAAGUGAGUGAGGUGGCCCACUUGUAUUAUGCCUGCAGGGGCUGAACCCCCUCAUGGACCAGCUGAUGGAGCCAGUUUAUCACCCUUGAGCUGCCCCUGUGAGCCUUCCAGAAGUAUUACAGGGCUCUGCGAUGAAGCCUGUACCUUUUCUGUUUGAAGGGAUACCCUGCGACGGCGGCGUCGGCCUAGGAGUGCGGCCACAGCGUAUGAGCCGAGGACCGGGACGUUCUCAGGAGACGUAGACUAAGAGAGAACAGCCCUCUGAGGGCAGGAACUUCCCAGAUGAUGAGGCGGCCUUCUUUUGCACCUGAUGAGGAUUUGCAUCCCUGGAUAUCUGAGAGCUAAAGGGAGAGCAUGUAAACCUGAUGUGAACGGAGGAGACCAGAGGAGCACAGCAACGAGGUGGGUCGGUGCCUGAAGUCCAAGCUACGGCCUGACUCUGGGCUCUACGUUUACCUCACUGUUCGGAUUUUCAUUUUGAAGAUGCGAGGCACUUGGCACAGCAGGGUGGUCUGCAGCAUUCAAAUCGCUACUCCAACAUGACAGACACCCUUGCAGAAAGAGGUCACAGUUGAGCACUUUCAGGUGGAACCUACCUUGGCAAUGCAACACUUUUGGACACUACAUCGGCAUGUGCUUUUCCACUUUGUUUUGCCCCUUCUCCCCUGGGAAGGAAGUAAACCUGGAUAUCAGCAGUCAAGGUCAAGUGAGUGAGGUGGCCCACUUGUAUUAUGCCUGCAGGGGCUGAACCCCCUCAUGGACCAGCUGAUGGAGCCAGUUUAUCACCCUUGAGCUGCCCCUGUGAGCCUUCCAGAAGUAUUACAGGGCUCUGCGAUGAAGCCUGUACCUUUUCUGUUUGAAGGGAUACCCUGCGACGGCGGCGUCGGCCUAGGAGUGCGGCCACAGCGUAUGAGCCGAGGACCGGGACGUUCUCAGGAGACGUAGACUAAGAGAGAACAGCCCUCUGAGGGCAGGAACUUCCCAGAUGAUGAGGCGGCCUUCUUUUGCACCUGAUGAGGAUUUGCAUCCCUGGAUAUCUGAGAGCUAAAGGGAGAGCAUGUAAACCUGAUGUGAACGGAGGAGACCAGAGGAGCACAGCAACGAGGUGGGUCGGUGCCUGAAGUCCAAGCUACGGCCUGACUCUGGGCUCUACGUUUACCUCACUGUUCGGAUUUUCAUUUUGAAGAUGCGAGGCACUUGGCACAGCAGGGUGGUCUGCAGCAUUCAAAUCGCUACUCCAACAUGACAGACACCCUUGCAGAAAGAGGUCACAGUUGAGCACUUUCAGGUGGAACCUACCUUGGCAAUGCAACACUUUUGGACACUACAUCGGCAUGUGCUUUUCCACUUUGUUUUGCCCCUUCUCCCCUGGGAAGGAAGUAAACCUGGAUAUCAGCAGUCAAGGUCAAGUGAGUGAGGUGGCCCACUUGUAUUAUGCCUGCAGGGGCUGAACCCCCUCAUGGACCAGCUGAUGGAGCCAGUUUAUCACCCUUGAGCUGCCCCUGUGAGCCUUCCAGAAGUAUUACAGGGCUCUGCGAUGAAGCCUGUACCUUUUCUGUUUGAAGGGAUACCCUGCGACGGCGGCGUCGGCCUAGGAGUGCGGCCACAGCGUAUGAGCCGAGGACCGGGACGUUCUCAGGAGACGUAGACUAAGAGAGAACAGCCCUCUGAGGGCAGGAACUUCCCAGAUGAUGAGGCGGCCUUCUUUUGCACCUGAUGAGGAUUUGCAUCCCUGGAUAUCUGAGAGCUAAAGGGAGAGCAUGUAAACCUGAUGUGAACGGAGGAGACCAGAGGAGCACAGCAACGAGGUGGGUCGGUGCCUGAAGUCCAAGCUACGGCCUGACUCUGGGCUCUACGUUUACCUCACUGUUCGGAUUUUCAUUUUGAAGAUGCGAGGCACUUGGCACAGCAGGGUGGUCUGCAGCAUUCAAAUCGCUACUCCAACAUGACAGACACCCUUGCAGAAAGAGGUCACAGUUGAGCACUUUCAGGUGGAACCUACCUUGGCAAUGCAACACUUUUGGACACUACAUCGGCAUGUGCUUUUCCACUUUGUUUUGCCCCUUCUCCCCUGGGAAGGAAGUAAACCUGGAUAUCAGCAGUCAAGGUCAAGUGAGUGAGGUGGCCCACUUGUAUUAUGCCUGCAGGGGCUGAACCCCCUCAUGGACCAGCUGAUGGAGCCAGUUUAUCACCCUUGAGCUGCCCCUGUGAGCCUUCCAGAAGUAUUACAGGGCUCUGCGAUGAAGCCUGUACCUUUUCUGUUUGAAGGGAUACCCUGCGACGGCGGCGUCGGCCUAGGAGUGCGGCCACAGCGUAUGAGCCGAGGACCGGGACGUUCUCAGGAGACGUAGACUAAGAGAGAACAGCCCUCUGAGGGCAGGAACUUCCCAGAUGAUGAGGCGGCCUUCUUUUGCACCUGAUGAGGAUUUGCAUCCCUGGAUAUCUGAGAGCUAAGUUGAGGGCUACACCUCAGGGAGGGGGAUGAGAGUGGGGUGCUGGGUCAGGACUUGGUGGGAGGGAUUUUUGAAUUAGCUUUGGAGAUGGGGAUGUUCACGAGAGGGCCCCUUAGGCCACGUAAAGGGAAAGCCUCGCUUUUGAUCACAAUGCUGAGGUGUGGAGGGCAGAGCAGUCCCGGUGUGUGUUGUCUUGUCCGGUGUGUGUUCUGUGUCUUUGGCUUCCCUUGGAUCAGAUCUCUCUGCCUUUUACCCUUAAGGGGCUUAUCAUAAGCAUUGGCCAUCAUCUCUAGCUUCUUGAACUUUCGUACUUCUCGGUAGGAUGCCAAUAUCACUUGUUCUUUUACUAGUGGGCUUGGCCACAUCUUGGAAUCACAUCUUGAAAGCAUUGAGUCGGAUCUCUUUUGAGGCCUUGUUCCCGGCUGUACUGCCAUCCAUCCUUUCCAGCCGUGAGCUGUAAUGUCCUGGGGCUUGUAAGAUUGUCAGGAUAUGGGAGCAUUCUAAACGUGGCGUUGUCUCUCACAGCCAUCUUGAUCAUUGUGACUGACAGUUCUUAGAACAGGUCACUGUUACAGUCUUUUCUUCUGCUCCUUAGAGCCCCCUUCAUCCACCAAUGCCAUACCAUCGGUUGUCUCUUUUGGCAUCGUCUCUGUCCUUGCCAUCGUUCUUCUUGCCGAGAGCUUUUUUUAUCAUCCUCAUGUCACACUGCUUGUAGUAUAAUGUGUUGUUUGAGUUUGUGUCUAGCCUGGAAUUGCUCUGCCCUGUAGAGUAGUCCUGGCGGGGGAGUAGGUGGAGAAGAAAGGAGACUUUACAGGGAGCCUUUUGCUUUGCUCAGCCACCUGAGCCACGCCUCGGAUGGAGUGACUGUGGCCAGUCUGUGUGGUGUUCAGUGGAGACGUGGGAGUGGUGCAGUGGUGUCUUGCAGUUUCAUAGUAGUUUGUCCUAAGGCCCACUACUGUGGGAUCCUAGGCAGUUUGCUUUGAGGAAUGAGAACUUGGGAAAGGCUAAGCUGGGUAACUUUGACAAAUAAUUCUUUUGCAGAGGGAGAGCAUGUAAACCUGAUGUGAACGGAGGAGACCAGAGGAGCACAGCAACGAGGUGGGUCGGUGCCUGAAGUCCAAGCUACGGCCUGACUCUGGGCUCUACGUUUACCUCACUGUUCGGAUUUUCAUUUUGAAGAUGCGAGGCACUUGGCACAGCAGGGUGGUCUGCAGCAUUCAAAUCGCUACUCCAACAUGACAGACACCCUUGCAGAAAGAGGUCACAGUUGAGCACUUUCAGGUGGAACCUACCUUGGCAAUGCAACACUUUUGGACACUACAUCGGCAUGUGCUUUUCCACUUUGUUUUGCCCCUUCUCCCCUGGGAAGGAAGUAAACCUGGAUAUCAGCAGUCAAGGUCAAGUGAGUGAGGUGGCCCACUUGUAUUAUGCCUGCAGGGGCUGAACCCCCUCAUGGACCAGCUGAUGGAGCCAGUUUAUCACCCUUGAGCUGCCCCUGUGAGCCUUCCAGAAGUAUUACAGGGCUCUGCGAUGAAGCCUGUACCUUUUCUGUUUGAAGGGAUACCCUGCGACGGCGGCGUCGGCCUAGGAGUGCGGCCACAGCGUAUGAGCCGAGGACCGGGACGUUCUCAGGAGACGUAGACUAAGAGAGAACAGCCCUCUGAGGGCAGGAACUUCCCAGAUGAUGAGGCGGCCUUCUUUUGCACCUGAUGAGGAUUUGCAUCCCUGGAUAUCUGAGAGCUAAAUGCAGAUGGAUUGAAUCUGUGGCAGAGUGCCCCAUACCAGGAAGUAAUGCUGAAUAUCAGUGGUCAAGGUCAAUGGAGCGAGGUGGUCCACUGGGAAGGUGUCCCGGCCCUGGGAUGCUGGAGGCCAGGUGCUGCUGCUGCCCUAGGCAUGCCAAGGGACAGAGGCGAGCAGGUAUCGUCCGGGCCACCUCCGGAGUCAGAUGAAGAUUUGAGGUGAGCCUGGGCCAGUGGUGCAGAGGGAGCCCAUGCAUUAUUCUUCUGGAGGGCAACAGUCGCAGUUUCUGUUUUGUUGUCUUAGGUACCACAAGUAGGUGCAGAGCCUAAGUUUGGAAACGGCUGGUAAGCGAUGAGCCUCGGCAGUUAUGAGGGAGAGGGGCAUUGUGCAAGGGGUCACUUCUGGGACGUGUCAUCACAGUCUGAAUUUUGUCAUUAUUCUCUAUCUUUUGUAGCUGCCCAAGUGGGCUGUGGGCCAUGUAUUGACAUCCACGGUGCUGAAGCCUUCUUUUCUGUCGAGGAUGGAUUUUGUCUGCUGGUCUUCGGAGAGCUAAGUGUGGGGACUGUUGGUUGGGAGAAGGCAAAAACCUUUGGAAUCACAGGAGGCAAUUUGAAGUUAGCUUAGAGGAGAGGGCUGUAGUGGGCCGGGCCCCUUGGAGUUACAGGAGAGAGGGUUUCUCUUCAGCAUCACUCGAGCCUUUGCCGGGCCAGGCAGUUCCAACCUAUCUCCAUGUUCUCGUGAGCUUCGCAUCGUUGGAUGUUGAGUCUCGAUGUCAUUGUCCAUCUUCUCACCUGAGGAGCCUGCCUUCAGGUCUGGCAUGAUUGCCACGGUCUAAAUUUUGCCUACUCUUCAGUGUAGCCACGCUUUGGAGCACUUUUGAACAUAGCAUGCGGGCAUCUCGCAUCUUGGCCGUUUGUUGGUCGGUCAUGUUUUGUGACGUCACUUCAGCCUUUGGCGGCAGAAUCAUUCUCUAGGGAUCCCUUUGUAUCACCUGGCAGUCGUUGCCUCCUUCUCUAGGCCUACUGCGCUUCUUGAGCAUCCUCUUACCAGCUUUGGCACUAACUUCUCAUAAGGAGUUUAUAUUUCACUGUCAUGUACUACUGCCAUAGAGCCUUCUUUCCUUUGGCGUCAUCGGCCUCUGACUCAUCUUGCGCUAGGAAUCUUGGGUCCAUCAGGUAAAACUGCUGGGCAGUUUCAGUUUAUGUCUAUGUUAUGUGGUCUGUGUCCGUUGUCUUCAGUGUCAUAGGGCUUUGUGAUGUCUCAAUGCUUUACAGGCAUCGUUAUGGGCCUUAUUGGCAGCAGGAGUGCUUGCAUACUUUCCUGGAUUGGGCUUAUUCUGGCAUCUUUAUGGUUUUGCUUUUUGAGACCAGAAGAAGUACACAAGGUGUUCCUAUCCAUCUUCCUUCUCAGUUUUGCUAGUAUCUUUUUUUCAUGUGCCAUUCCCUUGGACUUCUAUAUGAAGUGUACUAGACCCUCCUCACUGCAGUAGUUUCGUAGCUUCUGUCGCCUCAAAGCAUCCUGGUCUCAAGAAUUUAUCUUCUGAAGCGUUAUCUCAAGUCUUCGUGUCAUCUCUGCUUAUAUUUGAUGCACUGGGUGUCCAUGUGCUGCUUGUGCUUGGAGCUGCCCUGCCCUGGCACAUUCAGUCAUGGCUAGUUUGAACAGUUUUAAACUCUCAUCUCUUGUCUAUGGGCUUUUGGGUAGAAAGCUUAUGGGCCUGGUGUGGGGAUAACUCCUAUCUGUCAGCUACUUGCAGACUGCCUCAUGCUGUCUUGCAGGUCCCCGAGGCAGAUUUUGAUCCCUAUAGUCACUGAUGCUACCAAUUUUCCCAGGAUCUACUGUUCCACAUCAAGGAGCAGCAGAUGGAAGAAGAUGUUAAAGCAUCUUCUUUAGGGGGGAGUGUUUCUAGUAAGGGCUGCAGUCAGUGUGUAAGCUGAGGAAGGGGUGUCUGAGAGUGUGUCUGUCUGUGUGUGUGUUGACUGGCUCUAACCUUAUGCGUGUGUCGUUUUUUGCCUUUCAGGUUCUUCAGUUCAUUUUAAAAUUUAGAAUAUGAAAAACCCAGCUGGUCCUGCCCAUGCUGUGGGGUCAGUCAGAGGGACACAGGGUUCCUCUUCUCCUCUCUGCUGGGAUGAACUGCCUAGGGAAUACCAUUUCUGACA